rnacentral:tRNA from 1 species
GCCCGGGUGGCGAAAUUGGUAGACGCACUUGCCUUAGGAGCAAGCGGAGCAAUCCAUGAAGGUUCAAGUCCUUUCUCGGGCAC